rnacentral:lncRNA from 1 species
AUUUCAGAAAUGAAGGACUCGGGCCGGGGAUUAAGCUCAGUAUCACCACGCCUGCCUCACACGUGCAAGGUCCUGAGUUCAAUCCUCAGUACCAAAAAAAGAAAAAGAAAGGAAAAGAAUGAAGCAGCGAUGAAGGAGCAAUAAAGUCCUUCCAAGUAUCUAGCAUGUGCAGUUUUAUUUGACUGUCAUCAGGACUGGCUGUGUACUUGCCCCAACCCAACCUAAGGGUCUUAUAGUUCAGGCUGGCUGAACUCACUCCUUUUCCCCAAUAAAGCCUACUCUGAAAAACAUUUUUCUUAAUAAAAAAUGUUCAACUUUUCAACUCAGAGCUGACUAAGCACCUCAUUGUUUUGGCUGCUAUUUACACUGUCCUGGAGGAAUAAAUGUCAUUAGUUCAGUAAGAGAGAAUCUGCAAUGAAAUACAAUUUGUAGGAAAUAAAAAUAUAUCUAAUAUUUCAUAAUUAGUAUUCUCUGUUACUAUGGGAACUACGUAAAGUAUAAUUUGAAGUAGAAAUAUCAUAUGCCACAGUUUUGAAAUGUGUGAAAGUGCUGGAUGUGGUGGUGG